rnacentral:rRNA from 1 species
CCUACGGGAGGCAGCAGUGAGGAAUAUUGGUCAAUGGACGAAAGUCUGAACCAGCCAUGCCGCGUGCAGGAAGACGGUCCUAUGAGUUGUAAACCGCUUUUGUACGAGAGUAAACCUGAAUACGUGUAUUCAGCUGAAAGUACUGUACGAAUAAGGAUCGGCUAACUCCGUGCCAGCAGCCGCGGUAAUACGGAGGAUCCAAGCGUUAUCCGGAUUUAUUGGGUUUAAAGGGUGCGUAGGCGGGUUGAUAAGUUAGAGGUGAAAUGUCCGAGCUUAACUCGGGAACUGCCUCUAAUACUGUUGAUCUAGAGAGUAGAUGCGGUAGGCGGAAUGUAUGGUGUAGCGGUGAAAUGCUUAGAGAUCAUGAAGAACACCGAUUGCGAAGGCAGCUUACC